rnacentral:rRNA from 1 species
UACAUGGGGUGCAAACGUUGCUCGGAAUUAUUGGGCGUAAAGCGCGCGUAGGCGGUUACUUAAGUCGGAUGUGAAAGCCCUCGGCUUAACUGAGGAAGUGCAUCCGAAACUGAGUAGCUAGAGUACGAAAGAGGGUCGCGGAAUUCCCGGUGUAGAGGUGAAAUUCGUAGAUAUCGGGAGGAACACCGGUGGCGAAGGCGGCGACCUGGGUCGAGACUGACGCUGCUGCGCGAAAGCGUGGGGAGCAAACAGG